AUGCAGUCGAACGGUAACAGGAAACAGCUUGCUGCUUCGCUGACGAGUGGCGGACGGGUGAGUAAUGUCUGGGAAACUGCCUGAUGGAGGGGGAUAACUACUGGAAACGGUAGCUAAUACCGCAUAACGUCGCAAGACCAAAGAGGGGGACCUUCGGGCCUCUUGCCAUCGGAUGUGCCCAGAUGGGAUUAGCUAGUAGGUGGGGUAACGGCUCACCUAGGCGACGAUCCCUAGCUGGUCUGAGAGGAUGACCAGCCACACUGGAACUGAGACACGGUCCAGACUCCUACGGGAGGCAGCAGUGGGGAAUAUUGCACAAUGGGCGCAAGCCUGAUGCAGCCAUGCCGCGUGUAUGAAGAAGGCCUUCGGGUUGUAAAGUACUUUCAGCGGGGAGGAAGGGAGUAAAGUUAAUACCUUUGCUCAUUGACGUUACCCGCAGAAGAAGCACCGGCUAACUCCGUGCCA
rnacentral:rRNA from 1 species